rnacentral:lncRNA from 1 species
GACUAUAGACUGUAUAUUUUAUAUAGAGACUAUAUAACAUUUUAUACUAUAUAUUUUUAUAUAUUUUAAUUUAGAAAGGCAUGUAAUAUGUGCUCAUUGUAAAACAGCAGAAGAGUAAUCAUGGUUCUACACAAAAUUAAUAUUUUAAUUGUUGAUUUAUAUGAUUAUACACCAUAUGUAUGCAUAUAUAAAAAUAUAAAACAAAAUAAUACAGUGCAUACUGUCUUGGACCAAAAAUGUCUAAGCACAUUUGAUAUUAUCAGCCUUUUUUUAUUCUGGAGAUUGAACUCAGGAACACUUUACCACUGAACUACAAUCCCCAAUUCCUUUUUUUUGAGAAAGGGGCCUACUAAGUUCCUGAGGGUCUUGCUGAAUUGCUGAAGCUGACUUUGAACUUUGAUCCCCUUGCCUCAGCUUCCCAAUUCAUCGGGGUUACAGGUGUGGGCCACAGCUCCUGGCCCACGAUCAAUUUUUGUCCUGAAACAUUUAAAAAAAAAUUUUAUUGAUAGACCUUUAUUUUAUUUAUUCACAUGUGGUUCUGAGAAUCGAACCCAGUACCUCACUCAGUACCAGGCAAGCAUACUACCUGUGAGCCCUGAAACAUUCUUAAUGGGACAGUUACAAAUCUAUAGUUUAAAAUUUUCUCUCAAAUACACAUUUACUUGAGAAAUGCUUGCUAUUUAUUCCAUGCUCUGUGGUUUUGCUGAGGUAAGGAUAACUUUGGAGUAAGGGUGUAAAGGCUUGCUAAUGAGAGCUUACUUAGUAAAUACUGAAAGCUAAAUCCUGGGUUAACCUCAAUUUCAUUCACAUAUUAACUUGCUGCUUCUCCACUCUGGCAUCAUACUUCCUAAGCAAAGAUUUCUAUUUGCAGGGUAAUUUCAGAAGUGAACAUCUUAUUUCAGUAUAUUGUUGGUCUUUCAUGUUACCCUGGGACCUUCUGAGUUGUUAUCCCCAUUGAUAAUAAAUUAAGUAUUAUUAUUAGCGGUGGUAUAAUAUAGUUGUGUUAAAAAUACCUUUUUUGGGAGGCUGGGGUUGUAGCUCAGUGGUAAGUGCUCGCCUCGCACAUGUGGGACCCUGGGUUCGAUCCUCAGCACCAUAUAAAAAUAAAUAAGUGAAAUAAAGGUAUUGUGUCCAACUACAACUGAAAAAUAAAUAUUUUAAAAAAUACCUUUUUUUGGAAGAAAAUCUUUGGAAGCUCAAAAGACUUUAAAUCUAUAAAAUAUAAAUAUUUUUAUUUCUAUGAAAUAUGUAAUUCAUAUUCCCCCAAUGAAGUGAUAUAAUUUAUGUGUGUAUAUAAAAUUCUAAUUUUACAUAUAAAGUAACUGGUCUUUCUCAAAGCUUCCCAAAGAUUUUUAUACAGUAGAAUCCUCUUUAGAACUAUUAAUAUAACCCAAUUUUCCUGACUACUCACUUAAUUCUGUAUUUAAUCCUUCUGAUAGCUGUUUAGUUUUUGUACAAAGUGGUAACCAAAUCUUGGGUAACAUUUUUCAUCUAAGUGCAGUCAUACUUUGGCUUAACAAUGGGGACAUGUUCUGAAAAUUGCAUUGGUAGGUGAUGUUGUUUAAGAAUACCAUAAAUUGUGCUUACAUAAACCUCGAUGGUACAGCUUUCUUCACACCUAGGCUAUAUGGUAGUGAAUCUCUCCUAGGCAACAAGCCUGUACAGCAUUUUACUGUACAGAAUCCCAGUAGUUGAUUAUAAUAGAAUGGUGAAUACCUGUAUAUCUAGAUGGAAAAAGGACUGUAAAAUACUACUUAAAAGAGGGUAUGGGGUUGGGGUUGUGGCUCAGCGGUAGAGCGCUUGCCUAGCAUGUGCAAGGUCCUGGGUUCGAUCCUCAGCACCACAUAAAAAUAAAUAAAUAAAAUGUAUUGACAACUACAACUAAAAAAUAAAAAGAGGGUACAUCUGUAUCAAACACUAGUGAAUGGAGCUUUCAGGACUGGAAGUUGCUGUGGGUGAGUCAGUGAGUGGUGAGUACAUGUGAAGUCCUAGGACAUCACUAUAGACUAUUUUAUAAACACUGUAUACUUAGGCAACACAAAAUUUAUGAAUUUUUCUUCAGUAAUAAAUUUCUCAUACCUUUCUAUAACUUUUUAAUAAACUUUUUACAUUUUAACUUCCUGACAGUUAACUUAAAACAAACAUUGUAUAGCUGUACAAAAAUAUUUUUUCUAGGCUGGGGCUGUAGCUCAGUGGCUUGCCUAGCACCUGUGGGGCACUGGGUUCAAUCCUUAGCACCACAUAAAAAUAAACAAAUAAAAUAAAGGCAUUUUGUCCAUCUAUAACUACAUUUUUUUUUUCUUUUAUAAGUUUCUUUUUUUGUGGGGUGGAGGAAUAAUGUAAGUUGAACCCAGGAGUGCUCUACCAUUGAGCUACACCCCUAUCCCUUUUUAUUUUUUGAGACAUGGUCUCACAUAAUUUCUCAGGCUGGCCUGGAACUUGUGGUCCUCCUGUGUAAGCCUCCCAUAUUGGUGGGAUUAUAGGCGUGCACUACAGCAGGCGAAUCAAAUUAAAAUUUUUAAUUUAAUUUUUUACUUUUAAAACUUGUGGUGUUAUUUAAAACAAAUUAAAGAAAAAAAACUUGUUAAAAACUAAUCUAGACCUAUAGAGGGUCAGGAUCAUCAAUAUUACUGUCCUAUCUCCACAUCUUUUCCAACUGGUAGGUCUUCAGAGGCAAGAACACAUGUAGAACUGCCAUCUCUUAAGAUAACAAUGCUGCCUUCUGAAAUUCCCCUUCAAAGACCUGUCUGUGGCUUUUCUUGAGGAGUUGUCACUCUUUUCUGAAAUAUGUCUAGAGGGCUUGCUUGGUUUGUUUCUUUAAUUCAUCAUAGAUUUGCGUGUUAGCAGAUACUGCACCAUUAGCAUUCCUUUCUAUUAAUAAAAACCUUUUGGUCUUGGUGUUCAUGGUUUUGAACUUUAGGGAACUGGUUGAAGUCUGCAAAAGCUUUAAACCCUUGACUGAUUUUUUUAUCUUUUAAAGUGUUCUGUAGUUUCCUUUUCUCUUGCCUCUUCUUCAGCAGUGUAUUCCUUCUUUAUUUAUGCUUGACAAGAUAUUAACUCAGUGUCUUGUAGAUGUAGUGGGAGGUAGAGAAUCUGGGAAUUAAAAAGUAUUGAUGUUUUGUCUCAGAUUUUGUUUUCAGUUUUUUUAUAUCUGAAAAGAGUGAGAGCAGUAGCUAAUUUUCACAUGAGAGUCCACCAAGAGGAUGGAUUGUCAUCUCUCAAGUUUUAUAGCCAAAUGUUACUCAAUAUUCUUUAAAUAGAUAGUCUUUGUUUAAUAUUAAUUUAGUGCUUGUGGUACAGUAGUGAUUCUUUCAGAUUUGCACUGUUUUGAACUUUUUAACUAGAAAUAAUGAUGUUCUUAUGAAAUAAUUGUUUUUCUUUAAAGAUAAAAGAUUGUGCAAGUGUUCUGCAUCAAUAUGCAUACUCAGAUUUGGCCAACCAUUGGAGGUUCAGGAUUCUAUGUACACUGCCUAUUCUUGAAUACCUGGAACACACUGCAUUACAAAAUGAACUUCCUUUUCAAACUUGCCCUGUUCCAUUCUUGGUUACCUCAGUCAAUAGUGCCAUUUCAUCCAGUUUCUCACAGCAGACUCCUUGUCUUUCCAUAUUUUAUAAUCCUGUUCAUUUAACCUUCUAAAUAAGCUUAGUCUGUCCUCUUCAUUUUUACCACUACAUUUCUAUCUUAGCUGCUUGUUGUCUUUCUUGGACACUUGCAAGUGGUCACUUGCAUCCAGUGUGACCCAGCCACUCAUACAUUAGUGCAGCCAGAAUGAAUUGAUUUUUCUAAAUACAUAGGUCUGAACAUGUUAUCUUGGAAUUUAGGAUGAAGAUGAAGUUGCUUAAUGUGGCUGUGCUAAACUUUUGGACCAUUUUGUACCAACCAUUUUCCCUAUUAGAUUUUUUUCUGUUUCUUGACUAGAAAACCUUUUAUUUCUUCUCUAUGUAGGAAAUCUUAUAAAUUUUUUGAGUCUCUGCUCAAGCAUAAUUUCCAAGUUAUACUUGAUUUCCCUCAUUUUUGAGCUUUUUCUUUAUGCAUUCAUUUAUGCAAUUUUAUCUUUAUUGCAUAUUACCCACCAGAUUAUAAGAGUGGAUAAUGUGCUUGUGUUCAUUUUCAGGCACCAGACUUACCAGAAGAUAGUACCUGACACAUAACAAGCUGUCAGAAUUAUUUGAAUGAUUGUAGAAUCCUCACAAAACUAAUUUGUAUUAUUAUACCUUAUUGUUAGGCUGUUGUGGUACCAUCUAACAUUUUAUAAUUUUAGGGACUCAUGGUGGAAAGAGAUUCUAAGCCAGCUGUGUUGCUUAAAAGUAAAGUCAUCAGUCACUCCUUGAAUACAUCAGUCUGGCUAGUCUUUAACACAUUUAGGUGGUUAGAAAGUAUAAUUUCAACUGAAAUUUCUCCUUGGAACUUUUAUCUACUGAUCUUACUUCUUUUUGGGGUGUGGGGCUUCCAAAAACAUAAUUUCCAUUUUCAUUGUAAAGUCUUCUGAACUCUGUUUUAGUGUAAAUAUCCUUAUAGCCUCCUUCAGCUUUCUGGGAUAGGGUGUGCUUGAAAUAUGAAGUUUGGGGGCUAAAUAUAAAUACCUUCCUUAACAAAUUACAACAAACUUAUUGGUUUAAAACAAAAAUAUAUUCUCUCACAGAUCCAGAGACCCUUUGUUCAGAAUCAAGGUGUUUGCAGUGCUAUGCUCCCUCAGAAAGCUCUAGGGAAGAGUCUUUUAUGCUUUGUGUAGUUUUUGGUGGCUUGCCAUCACUUGUGGCUACAUUAGUCAGGUGUUUGCCUCCAUGGCCCCAUUUUCUCCUACUCUCCUGUCUGUAAUCUCCAUCUGUCUGAGUUGUAUGAGGACAGUUGUUGGUUUGUAUCAUCUUGUGACAAUAUAAUUUCAGGAUCCUUAAUUUAGGGCUGGGGAUAUGGCUCAGUGGUAGAGUGUUUGCCUAGCAUGCAUGAAGCCCUGGGUUCAAUCCUCAAAAAAAACCUUAUUUGGUUACAUCUGCAAAGACACUUUUCCCAAAUAAGGAAACAUUCAUUAAUUCCAAUGAUUUAGAACAUGGCCAUGUCUUUUUGAGAGCUACCAUUCAAGCCAUUACCAGGCUACAGGCUUAAAUUAUGGUAAUACCACCUACUAGUUUUGCAACCUUGAACAUGUUGCUUAACUUUUGAGUCUGAAUCUCCUUAAAAUUUUAAGUCAAGGACAAUAAUGCUUUUAUCACUGAUGUGAAGAUAUAAAGAAAAUUCAUGUGAAGUACUUAGCAUAUGGUAGCUAAUGCAUUAAAUGUUGCCUUCUACGUGUCUAACUACCCAGAUCCUACUGUGCUUGUUCAGCAUCCCUGGACAUCAUGUGUGUCCUAGAAUCUCACAUGAGUUGCAAGACUGAUCUGAUAAAUGCAGGUUUUCUUAUGUUAUGGACACAAUUUAGCCAACUAUGAUGUUGCCCAAAUUUAAAUUUAGGUUUAUCUGUAGCUGCAUCAUAGGGCUUUAUUGAACUUAGAAUUGGUUAAAAUCCCCAAGCCUUUUUCAUUUAUGAUUAAAUCUAUAUUGUGUAGUGGAAUUUGUGGGUUCAAGUGCAUGUUGUCAAAAAUUACAUUGUAUAUCACAAGUGCUGAUAAUAUCAAGUCAUAGUACCUAGUGCAUAUUGGGAGCUAAAGCUCCCAAUUUUUAAAUGCUGAGUUUUUUUUAAAUAUAUUUUUUAGUUGUAGAUGGACAUAAUGCCUUUAUUUAUUUUUAUUUUUUAUGUGGUGCUGAGAAUGGAACCUAGUGCCUCACACAUGCUAGGCAAGCGCUCUGCCUCUGAGCUCCAGCCCCAGCCCAUGAAUGCUGAAUUUAAUGUUGCCUGUGGUUUAAGAAAUUUAGCUCCUUUGUGCUAUUCAGAGUAUUUUUUAAAACAAGUGCUGUGAUUAAUGUAAAAAGGAAAAAAAGUUACCAGUGGAGUAGCAACUAUAUCGGUUAAUGUUGGGCAGUUGAAUGGCAUCACUAGAGUCUCCUGUGAACAAGAUGCUCUUCAGGUAAUCAAUGGCUGAUCACUUCUGGUUAAUAGACAGUUCUUGAUAAUGUCUUCAAGUGUGAGAUGUAUGUCAUUACUAAUGUGACAAGUGUGUAUCCAGUGAUUUUUCAAAUCUAUUUUCAUACUAGCAUUUUUUGGCAUUUGAAUUUGAGAUAAAAGACUAGAGAAAUCAGUGAUGUAGAGAUGGAUUUUUGAAAAUAUCUAGUCCUUCCCACCACUGCCUUGAUACUGGGAUUGAGCUCAGAGGUACUUCACCGCUGGGCUACCUCCCCAACCCUUUUUAAGUUUUUUCUUUUGAGACAGGGUCUUACCAACUCUUUGAGGCUGGCCUUGAACUUGUGAUUGCCUCAGCCUCUGGAGUCUGAGCCACUGUGCCUGCCUAAAAAUAUCAAGUUGUGAGUAAGUAUUACAUGCAUGCGGUUAAGAAGACAAUGUAAAAAGGAAUACAGUGCAAAGCGACUUUCUCUUCCAUAGUUUCCCUUUCUGGAAACCACCACCCCUAUUUUUUUUGUCCUUCUAGGUAGGCUAAACAAAAAUGUUUGUAUCCGUCCCUUUUAAAAACAAACAUGAAGCUGGGCAUGGUGACACACACCUGUAAUCACAGCUGUUUUGGAGUCUGAGGUAGUGAAUUCAAGUUCAAGACCAGUGUUGGCAACGUAGUGAGACCCUGUCUCAAAAUUUCAAAUAAAUAAAUAAAUAAAUGAAAAGGGUAAAUCUCUUCUUAGUUAAAUUCCCAGUACUGCCAUAAUACAAAAAUUAAACAUAAAUGAUAGCAUAUAUACAUAAACAAGUGCUUUCUUAACAAGAUAUAGAAUUUUUAAAAAAUAUAGGACCAAUGUAGGAUUUCAAGGGUUUUUUUUUUUUUUUUUNAGGCUAUCUUUGAAUUCAUGUUCCUCCUGACUCAGCCUCCGCAACCACUGGGAUUAUAGGCUGUGCCACCAUACCCGUAGUAAGCUAGUAAUUCUUAAUCUUUGGUCUCAAAACCCUUUUAUUCUCUUAAAAAUUAUUGAGGACUUUAAAGGGCUUUUGUAUAUGUUGACUACAGAUAUUAAGACUAAGAAAUUUAAAGAAUGUUCAUUAAUUGAUUUUAAGAUAAUAGUAAAUUUACUGCAUGUUGAAAGGUGUUUCUAUAGCCAGUGUGGUGGUGCAUGCCUAUAAUCCCAGUAUCUCAGGAGGCUGAGGCAGGAGGAUCACUAUUUCAAAGUCAGCCUCAGCUAUUUAGAGAGGCCUUAAGCAACUCAGCAGUCUCUUAAGUGAAAUACUUAACGGCUGGGGAUGUGGUGCAGUGGUUGAGGGCCCCUUAGUUAAAUCCCUGGUACCAAAAAAAAAAAAAAAGAUUUCUACAAAGCAAUUUUCUGAAACAAGUUAGUGAGAUUUUGUUUUCAGUUUUUACAAAUCUUUUUAAUGUCUGGUUUGAGAGGAAAUGGUGGAUUCUCAUACCUACUUUUGCACUCAUUUUGCUGCAGAAUGUUGAUUUGGUUAAAGUAAAAAAAAGAUCUUCUCAUACCAAAUAUGUAGUUGGAAAAGAGGAGUAUCUUAAGAGCCAUUUUAGAUUUUUUUUUUUUAGUGUUAGGUUGACACAAUAUCUUUAUUUUACAUUUAUGUGGUGCUGAGAAUUGAACCCAGUGCCUCACGCAUGCUAGGUGAGUGUGUUACCACUUGAGCCACAUCCCCAGCCCUCCAUUUUAGAUUUUUAUGCUUCUUGUUCUUUGAUGUUAUGCCCAAACUCAUUAGCAGUGAUUUCUCUUUCUUUCUUCCUUUCUUAAAAAAAAUUUUUUUUUUUGUAGUUAUAGUUGGACAGAAUGUCUUUAUUUAUUUGUUUAUUUUUUUGAGGUGCUAAGGAUCGAACCCAGUGCCUCACACAUGCUAGGCAAGCACUCUGCCAUUGAGCCCCAGCCCCAGCCUCAGCAAUAAUUUCUUUAAAGGUGAGUUGUAAUAUGGAAUAAUGAAACCAUAACUGUACUCUGUUAUGCCCAAACUUACUGGUUUGUCAUGCACUUUGAAUGGCUCUUUUAACCUAUGCAUGAUUUUGUAAUAUUGUAGCAUUGGUCAUUGGAAAGUAUUAGUUCACUGAGUUGUACAGAUUUUCUAAAUGCUGAUGCAGAAAUCAUAUUAAUAUUACCAACUGAUUUCAUAAGAAAAGCCUUUUAAGUAAUGAAAAGCUAUCAAGCUCACUGUGGCAGAUAAGUUUUCCAGAAUUCUAAUUAUCACUUAAAAUUUAUCAAAUUUCAUCAUUGACAACAAAUAUUGCUAGUGACAGGCUGACUUUUAAUUUUUGAGAAAAUGUCAAAUACCCAGGUCUGAUCAUAUAAUUUGUGUGACAGCCAUUCUUUCAAGUAAAAAUAAUAUUCCUUCAGGAAAAAGUAGCUAAUUUUAGCUUGAUUCAGAGAAUGGUGCCCAUAUUUUUGUGACCAUCAUCAUACUUCCACAUGUAACAGAAAUACUUUGUGCAUGUUCUGUUUGUUGAAUAGAAUAAGAAAGACAUGAACUCAAGGGUGAAUAUUUAAUAAAUUAUUAAUUUUUACUCAUUCAUUGAGCCCAUUCAUAAAUAAAAUAAACUGCCUUAUCCUGCCUUUUUUUGUGAGCACAUGAUGGUGAAGAGUAUAAUAGCUACUAUAUUGUGGCUACUAUAGUAGUUAGUAGCUGUUAUCUUAAAUUGUGCUGUCAGUAGUUUUACCCCACCAUUGCUUUGUAUCAUAAGUGUAAAUAUAAACACAGUGGGGGGAAAGACAACUAGCUUUUAAUUAUUAUGAAAAUGAUGUAGAUCUCAUGGAUCCCUUGAGAGUCUGUGGUUCACUUUGAGAACUGCUAUUGAUGUUUUCCUGCAGUUCCUGAUCCAGAACGUGACAUGGAAAAGGUGCUCAAGAAUAUUUACUUAAUGAAUGUGAUAUGCUGGCAUUUAAACAUGUCAAAAUUUGGUGAAUGAAAGUAUGUAGACUGAUGUCCAUCCAGGCAGUUUGAUUGAGCAGCUUUUCCACAGAUAUUGUGAGAAUAAAGUGAACAAAUGGAAUGUAGGUGAUAUGUGUUGGCAAUGCAAAUGAUGAAAUAAAGAACUCAAUAUAAGGUGAUAGUACCUACAGAGCUAACACUUUGAGCCUUGUUAGGUUGCUAUUAGUGAGUCCUCUGCUUUUUGUCUUUAGUGGUGUAAAAGAGGAUUCUAAAUAGGAUGGAUUUAACCUGAAAAGCAAAUUUCAAUUUCAAUAGGUCACUGCUGUGCUUGAUUUUAUUUUUUCAAAGUAGACUACAGAAGGUAAAAUGUGAACAAAUAAUUUCAUUUUCCCUUGUGAGUUAAAUAAAUUUUGUUGUUCCUCUUCUAAUUCAUAUUCAAUAUGUUGGACUUGCUUUCUUCUUUCUUCUCUCUUUUUCUUUUCUUCUUGUUGGGGGAAGUUGGUUCAAGGAAACCUUUUUCUAUAACUUUUUAUAUUCUUUGAAUUUGAGGAAAUUGCUUCCCAAAUAAGAAAGUCUGACCACACAAGGUAAAUUGUCAUAUUAUUUUAUCCUCAUGGGAAUUAAAGUAUAAGAUUAGGUUAGGACAUUGCUUUAAAACGGGGGUUAUUGGUUUUCUGUUCUUUUAAGGAAAUAAAUUAACAAAGGGAAUGGUCACAUCAAAUACUUAGAAUACCUUUAAAAUAGUUUAACACAAAACUGUUGUAGGAAUUUUGAACUUUGACCCCAUUUUUGUCUUAAAUGGAUUUUAAAUCAAUAUCAGGUGGGGGUGGGGAGGAUGGUAUAAACCUGUAAUCCCAUUUAUGUGGGGAUCCUGAGACUAAAGGCUCUCGAGUUUGAGGUCAGCCUGGGCAAUUUAAAGAGACCUCAUCUCAGAAAUUUUUAAAAAGGGAUGCUGGGUUAGCUCAGUGGUAGACUGGCCCUGAGAUCAAUUCUGAGUACUGAAAAAAAAAAAACAAUAAUGUUAAAUGCUGAGGACCAACAAAUUACUCAUCUUAUGUUGAACAACAACAACAAAAAAAAUUAACUAUCUUUUAGUUGUCAAUGGAUCUUAUUUAUUUAUUUAUUUAUAUGCAAUGGUGAGAAUUGAACCCAGGGCCUCACAUUUCAGGAAAGUGCUCUCCUACUGAACCACAACUCUAGCCCCCCAAACAAAUUUUUUUUUAUAUUGAAAUAUUAUCUUGAAUUUGAGACAAUAUUUGAACUGAAGUUUUUGCCUUUAUGAAUAAGAGACAUUUUUGUGAGCUAUUUAAUUUUCGUAAUUUUUUUUUAAAUAAAAUUGAGUGAGACUGUAUAGCAAACUCAUGUAUAUCCUAGAAUAUAUCUGAAUGUUUCUCAGAAACUUGAUUUUUUAGGGAGAAACCUAUUUAGUGUUUCAUUGUACUUCUACCUGGUUGGCAUAGCAUACCACAAUGAUAAACUAUCUGAUAACCAGGAAAAUAAUAAUUGUUUAAUUAUUAAAGUAAAUGAAUUUCUCUGAGACAUUGCCAAUGUAGUCAUUUGUAAGUAUGGACACUUUUAAGAAAAGUAAAUAAAAAUCCUGUGUGUUUGUAAGUUCUAGGUUGCCACAUCUGAUCUCAUGUCACUGUCAAAACACAGGCACAUUACAAAAAUAUUAUAUAAAAUUAAUUUCAGGCUAUUUGUAUAAGGAAGUAUGAAACAUUAAUUUCAUAUUUAGACUUGGGUCCCAUUCCCAAGGUGUCUUGUUAUGUAUAUGCAAAUAUUUCAAAAUCUAAAGCACUUCUGGCCUCAAACAUUUUGAACAAGAGAUACUCGACCUAUAUUUUAUUCCCCUGCAUUUUUACAAACUUUUAAUAUAUAUAUAUGAUUAUAUGAUUAUAAACUAAAUAAUGUACAUAUUAUAUGUAAACUGUAUUUUCUAUGGAUAUAUAUAUCCAUAUAAAUAUAUAUCCAUAGAAAAAGUAUAUUGUUUUAUAUCUUUUAAAACUUUGUAUAAGUGGUUAAACUUUAUUGAUAUGUGUAGUUAUACUCAUUUUAAAUGCUAUUAAUAUCUAAUAUAACGGCAUGUGAAAAUAAUUUUGUAAGGCAUCUUAAAAAUAAAGUAGUAAGAUGACAAAAAUUUGUAAACCUACCAUCCAGAAAUAUCACAUUUGAUAUUUUUUUCCUUCACUUCCUCAUUUCCAACUUUUGUAUGUAUACUUUUGGUACCUUUUAAUAUCAAAGGGAUCGUGUUUUAUGGAUUACAUAAAAUUGUAAAACAGCCAUAUAAAGACUAUAAUCCCAGUUUAGUUGAUUCCUAGUUGAAUAAGGAAAGAAUAUGGAUGAAUACUGCAUAUCAGAUAUACAUAGAUAUUGAUGAUUUAUUUCUUAGUAUAGAAGCACCAUAUAGGUGGCAUCUGGGAAGAGGUGGGUCAUAUUGUUUAGUGUGUCUUAAAAAUUAAAGAUUUUUCUAAUAAGCAUAGUUACUAGGUAGAUGACACUUAUCUCUUUAAACAUUUAGAGCUAUUUUGUUUUUAACCAUUUUUAAUGGAAAAAAAUUGGAAAAGAAGCCUAUGAUGAGUAUCAUUGUUCUGUUUAAACUGUAAUACUAUGUACUACUUAUAAUUUUAUCUUUCCUUGUUCAUCACCAUGAAAAGCACUGAUGACUGAACUCUGUUGAAAUUUCUGUUAGCCUCUUGUGCACCCUUAGUUAGAUCUUUAUCAGCAUUCCAUGCCACUGCAAGGAGGGAGUUGGAAGAGCAUGAUAAAAUCUAAAGGCAGUUCUCACCAAUGGCAGUAGUGGGAAAGGCCACCAGCAGCCUUGUCUCUUCAUUGGAUGAAGCUGACCCACCCUCCUGAUCUCUUCAGUCUCUUCCUGCCAGUACAUCCUUUAUGUGCAUGUGUUAAACAUUAUAUGAUUAUUAACUAAAUAAUGUACAUAUUAUAUGUAAACUGUAUUUGAAGAAUAUAGUUAUGUAUAAACUAUUAUAUAUAAAUGAUAACACUAUAUAACUAAAAAUAUUUGGCAUCAUGGUGAAAUUAUUGGAAGAGUUCCUGACUGCAGUUGAAAAACCCUCUAUUCCACAUUUACUAUGAUUUCUAAUGGGAACGUUUUAAAAACCCUUUUUAAUUUUAUAUAUCUUAUUUUUUAAAGUAGUUUUAUAUUUGUAGAAAAUUUUGAAUGGAAAAUAUGGAGAGUUCCCUUCCUAUCUAUUCUGCUAUCCCCAGUUUCCCUUAACAUCUUACUUUAAUGUAAAUUUGUUACAGUCAAUUAGCCGAUAUUAACUAAAACUCAUAGUUUACAUUGGAUUUCUUUGUGUUGCUGUCUAUGGGUUUUGACAAAUGCAUAUUGAUAUAUCUAUCAUCUGUUACAGUAUCAUUCAGAAUGGUUUCACUACCCUAAAAAUCUCCUAUACUCUCCUUCCCUCCUUACUUGCAAACCCUUGGCAGCCACUGAUCUUGUUACUGUCUCCCUAGUUUUACCUUUUCUGAAAUGUCAUAUGGUUGGAAUCAUACAUUUGUAACCAUUUCAGAUUGAUUUCUUUCUCUUAGAAGUAAGUUUCUUCCAUGUCUUCAUGGCUUGAUAGCUUAUUUUCUUUUUAGUGCCGAAUGUAAUGUCCCAUUGUAUGGAUGUACUAUGGUUUAUCCAUUCACCUACUGAAGGACAUCUUUGUUGCUUCCAAGUUUUUGUUUUAUUUUUUGCAAUUAUGAAUAAAGUUGCUUUGAAUAAAAAAAAAA